rnacentral:rRNA from 1 species
UACGUAGGGUCCGAGCGUUGUCCGGAAUUAUUGGGCGUAAAGGGCUCGUAGGCGGUUCGUCACGUCGGGAGUGAAAACUCGGAGCUUAACUCCGAGCCUGCUUCCGAUACGGGCAGACUAGAGGUAGGCAGGGGAGGGCGGAACUCCUGGUGUAGCGGUGGAAUGCGCAGAUAUCAGGAGGAACACCGGUGGCGAAGGCGGAUCUCUGGGCCAUUACUGACGCUGAGGAGCGAAAGCGUGGGGAGCGAACAGG